UACAGAGGGUGCAAGCGUUGUUCGGAAUUACUGGGCGUAAAGCGCGUGUAGGUGGCGAUGUAAGUCGGGUGUGAAACCCCUCGGCUCAACCGAGGAAGUGCACUCGAUACUGUGUCGCUUGAGUGUUGGAGGGGAUGGCGGAAUUCCCGGUGUAGAGGUGAAAUUCGUAGAUAUCGGGAGGAACACCUGUGGCGAAGGCGGCCAUCUGGACAACUACUGACACUGAGACGCGAAAGCGUGGGUAGCAAACAGG
rnacentral:rRNA from 1 species